rnacentral:rRNA from 1 species
AGAAUCAACGCUGGCGGCGUGCCUAAUACAUGCAAGUCGAACGCGAAGACCCCGCAAGGGGUUUGUAGCGUGGCAAACGGGUGAGUAACGCGUGGGCGACCUGCCUUCGAGUGGGGGAUAACCUUCCGAAAGGAGGGCUAAUACCGCAUGACAUCCCAUGUUUAGAUACAUGGACAUCAAAGCUGGGGAUCGCAAGACCUGGCGCUUGAAGAGGGGCCUACGUCCGAUUAGCUAGUUGGUGGGGUAAUGGCUCGACCAAGGCGACGAUCGGUAA